CGGGACACGUGGUAUCCUGUCUGAAUAUGGGGGGACCAUCCUCCAAGGCUAAAUACUCCUGACUGACCGAUAGUGAACCAGUACCGUGAGGGAAAGGCGAAAAGAACCCCGGCGAGGGGAGUGAAAAAGAACCUGAAACCGUGUACGUACAAGCAGUGGGAGCACGCUUAGGCGUGUGACUGCGUACCUUUUGUAUAAUGGGUCAGCGACUUAUAUUCUGUAGCAAGGUUAACCGAAUAGGGGAGCCGAAGGGAAACCGAGUCUUAACUGGGCGUUAAGUUGCAGGGUAUAGACCCGAAACCCGGUGAUCUAGCCAUGGGCAGGUUGAAGGUUGGGUAACACUAACUGGAGGACCGAACCGACUAAUGUUGAAAAAUUAGCGGAUGACUUGUGGCUGGGGGUGAAAGGCCAAUCAAACCGGGAGAUAGCUGGUUCUCCCCGAAAGCUAUUUAGGUAGCGCCUCGUGAAUUCAUCUCCGGGGGUAGAGCACUGUUUCGGCAAGGGGGUCAUCCCGACUUACCAACCCGAUGCAAACUGCGAAUACCGGAGAAUGUUAUCACGGGAGACACACGGCGGGUGCUAACGUCCGUCGUGAAGAGGGAAACAACCCAGACCGCCAGCUAAGGUCCCAAAGUCAUGGUUAAGUGGGAAACGAUGUGGGAAGGCCCAGACAGCCAGGAUGUUGGCUUAGAAGCAGCCAUCAUUUAAAGAAAGCGUAAUAGCUCACUGGUCGAGUCGGCCUGCGCGGAAGAUGUAACGGGGCUAAACCAUGCACCGAAGCUGCGGCAGCGACGCUGAUGCGUUGUUGGGUAGGGGAGCGUUCUGUAAGCCUGCGAAGGUGUGCUGUGAGGCAUGCUGGAGGUAUCAGAAGUGCGAAUGCUGACAUAAGUAACGAUAAAGCGGGUGAAAAGCCCGCUCGCCGGAAGACCAAGGGUUCCUGUCCAACGUUAAUCGGGGCAGGGUGAGUCGACCCCUAAGGCGAGGCCGAAAGGCGUAGUCGAUGGGAAACAGG
rnacentral:rRNA from 1 species